rnacentral:rRNA from 1 species
UGCGGUUAUACAAAAAUUAAAUUAAAUUUUUUUUGGGUUUUAAUAAAUAAAUAAAAAAAAAUAAAUUAAAUAUUAAAUUAUAAGGUGAAAUUUUAAUUUAAUUAAAAUUUAUAUAUUUUUAUGAUAUUAAUAAAUUUUAUAUAAAACUAGGAUUAGAUACCCUAUUAUGAAAAUUUAAAUUAAUAAAAUCUCAAAAUAGUAUAUAAUUUUUUAUAGAAACUUAAAUAAUUUGGCGGUAUUUUAGUUCAUUUAGAGGAAUCUGUCUAAUAAUUGAUAAUCCACGAUUAAAUUUACUUAAUUUAUAAUUUUGUAUAUCGUUGUUAAAAAAAUAUUUUUAAAUAAUUAUAAUAUUUUAAAAUUUAUAUUAAAAAUUAAAUCAGAUCAAGAUGCAGAUUAUAAUUAAGAAUAAGAUGGAUUACAAUAAAUUUUAUUUUAUUUGGAUAUUAAUUUGAAAUAAAUUAAUUGAAAUUGGAUUUAAAUGUAAUUUUAUUAAUUUUGUUAAAAUGAUUUAAAAUUAAAAUAUGUACAUAUUGCCCGUCGCUUUCAUUAAUAAAUUGAAAUAAGUCGUAACAAAGUAGAGGUACUGGAAAGUGUUUCUAGAAAGAU